rnacentral:rRNA from 1 species
UGGGGAAUAUUGCACAAUGGGCGCAAGCCUGAUGCAGCCAUGCCGCGUGUAUGAAGAAGGCCUUCGGGUUGUAAAGUACUUUCAGCGGGGAGGAAGGGAGUAAAGUUAAUACCUUUGCUCAUUGACGUUACCCGCAGAAGAAGCACCGGCUAACUCCGUGCCAGCAGCCGCGGUAAUACGGAGGGUGCAAGCGUUAAUCGGACUUACUGGGCGUAAAGCGCACGCAGGCGGUUUGUUAAGUCAGAUGUGAAAUCCCCGGGCUCAACCUGGGAACUGCAUCUGAUACUGGCAAGCUUGAGUCUCGUAGUGAGGGGUAGGAUUCCAGGUGUAGCGAUGAAAUGCGUAGAGAUCUGGGAGAAUACCGGUGGCGAAGGCGGCCCCCUGGACGAAGACUGACGCUCAGGUGCGAAAGCGUGGGGAGCAAACAGG